GGAUUAGCUCAAUUGGUUAGAACGUGGUGCUGAUAACACCAAGGUCAUGGGUUUGAUCCCCAUUUGGUCCC
rnacentral:tRNA from 1 species